CCUCUGUGAAAAAUAAUGCCUACAUCUGUGGUAACACCAUCAAGCUCUGCUCCAAGUUCCUUAAGGCCCAAAGAGAUUAUGCAUGCAAGGUCCAGCCAGAGCCAAGUUGACUGUGUGGGACAGAAAGUCAUUGCGGAUACCGGUGUGCGGUUUGUUAAACAACUCCUGGAUGUAUAAAGCCAUUUCAUCUACAAUGCAAAGGGAAACACCGGAGGAAGAACGCCACCAAAGAGUCUGUGGCUUCAAAAUGGCAGGGGCCAGGCAUCUGAGUAGCCAAUAUGCUGCCAUAUGGAGAAGAACUAGUUUCCUGACACAGUGACACCACAGCCAAUUUAGACCUUGGGGAAGGAAGAGAAGUCUGUUGCAGAGAUGUUGGGAGCACCCCCACCAUACAAACCUGACGCCAAAGAGCAGAAAGCCCUGGACAACUCAAUGGCAAAGUGGAUUGGGCGUUCUGGUCUGCCUGCAAGGACCAUUGAGGAUGAGGACUUUGUGGAUAUGAUGAAACAAGCUGACAAAAGGUUCAAUGUGUACAGUGUGAUAUAUGUUAAAAAGAGAAUUAGUGUGUGGAGAAGUUCUAUUCUGCACACUGUUAUAUAAAUAAAAUUGAGAAAAAGACAUUUUUAACACCUCACUGAACCGAUCCGUAGUGCCAGCAUGCAUCAAGUCUCCCACCAUCAUUCCUGACAUUAAGAAGCCUCAGGUCACCUCACUCAAAGAUUACCGGCCUGUCGCACUGGCUCCAGUCAUGAUGAAGUGCUUAGAAAGGCUGGUUAAAGAACACAUCGUCUCCAGUCAACAUUUGACUCGUUCCAGUUCGCAUAUUGACGGAACCACUUCACUGAGGACGCCAUCUCUGCUGCUUUCCACCUGAUCCUGGCACACCUGGAGGAGAAGAACAGCCAAGUGCGGAUGCUGUUCCUGGACUUCAGUUUAGUUUUCAACACCAUCAUCCCACAA